rnacentral:rRNA from 1 species
AUACAUGCAAGUCGAACGCUGAAGCACUCUGCUUGCAGAGUGUGGAUGAGUGGCGAACGGGUGAGUAACACGUGGAGAACCUGCCCAUAAGAGGGGGAUAACAUCCGGAAACGGGUGCUAAUACCGCAUASGUAUCCGACACGCAUGUGUCGGCUAUGAAAGACGGCUUCGGCUGUCGCUUAUGGAUGGCUCCGCGGCGUAUUAGCUAGUUGGUGAGGUAAUGGCUCACCAAGGCAGUGAUACGUAGCCGACCUGAGAGGGUGAUCGGCCACACUGGGACUGAGACACGGCCCAGACUCCUACGGGAGGCAGCAGUAGGGAAUCUUCCACAAUGGGCGCAAGCCUGAUGGAGCAAUGCCGCGUGAAUGAAGAAGGUCUUCGGAUCGUAAAGUUCUGUUAUCGGAGAAGAACACGUCGAGUAGUAACUGGCUCGACCUUGACGGUAUCCGACCAGAAAGUCACGGCUAACUACGUGCCAGCAGCCGCGGUAAUACGUAGGUGACAAGCGUUGUCCGGAUUUAUUGGGCGUAAAGCGAGCGCAGGCGGUCUUUUAAGUCUGAUGUGAAAGCCCACGGCUCAACCGUGGAUGGUCAUUGGAAACUGGAGGACUUGAAUGCAGAAGAGGUAAGUGGAAUUCCAUGUGUAGCGGUGAAAUGCGUAGAUAUAUGGAGGAACACCAGUGGCGAAGGCGACUUACUGGUCUGUUAUUGACGCUGAGGCUCGAAAGCGUGGGGAGCGAACAGGAUUAGAUACCCUGGUAGUCCACGCCGUAAACGAUGAGUGCUAAGUGUUGGAGGGUUUCCGCCCUUCAGUGCUGGAGCUAACGCAUUAAGCACUCC